UGUUGCUGUGGCUGUGGUGCAGGCCAGAGGCUGCAUCUCUGAUUCAACCCCUAGUCUGGGAACUUCCAUAUGCCUUGGCCCUAAAAAGACAAAUAAAUAAAUAAAUAAGAAGAAGAAGAAAAAGAAGAAGAAAAAGAAUACUAUAGGGGGAAAGCUUCCUGGCGUCAGAUUCGAUGAUGGUUUCUUGGAUACGAUACCCAAAGAACAGGGAAUGAAAGAAAAAUCGAUAAAUUAGACUUUACAAAAAUUAAAAAUGUCUGUGGAUCAAAGGGGAUUAUAAAGAGAGUGAAAAGGCAACACAGAGAAUGGGAGAGAAUAUUUACAAGUCACAUAUCUGAUAAAGGCUUAAUAUCCAGAGUAUAUAAAGAACUCACUCUUAACCAAUCAAUUACAAAAUUAUGGAUUAACUGACUAAAGAUGGGCAAAGGACUUGAUAUUUCCUCAAAGAUGAUAUACAAAUGGCCAAUAAGCACACGAAAAAAUGCUCAAAAUCACUAACCACUAGAGAAAUGCAAAUCAAACCCACCAUAUGAUACCACCCCAUCUCCAUUAGGAUGGCUAUUAUAAACAAUAACAAUAACAACAGAAAAUAACAAGUGUUGACAAGGAGGUGGAAAAAUUUCAUCCCUGGGCAUAGCUGAUGGGAAUGCAAAAUGGUCCAAUCACUGGAAAACAGUAUGGUGGUUCCUUGAAUAAUUAAACAUAGCAUUACUAUAUGAUCCAGCAAGUCCACUUCUGGGUAUAAACCCCAAAGAACUGACAGAAGAGACUGGAAUAGAUAGUUGUACACCAAGGUUCAUAAGAGCGUUUUUCAAAACAGCCAAAAGGUGGCAAUAAGUGUCCAUCCGUGGACAUACACGGAUGGUUUACACAUGCAAUGAAAUAUCAUUCAGCUUUAAAAUUGGAUGAAAUUCUGACACGUGCUACAGCAUGGAUGAUCCUUUAAAACCCUCCGUUAAGUGAAAUAAGCUGAUACAAAAGAACACAUGUUGUAUGAUUCCACUAAUAGUCAAAUUUACAGAGAGGAGAGUAGAAUAGUGGUUACCAGGUGUUGGGAAGUCUGGGGAUAGUGGCAGGGGGAGGUGAUGGGAGCUGUGAAUGGGUACAGAGUUUCAGUUUGGGACGAUGAAAAAAUUCUGGAGCAGGAUGGUUGCCCAAUCAUGUAAUGCCAUGGAACUCUACACUUGAAAAUUGUUGAAGUGGUAAGUGUUUUUUAUGCACAUUUUACCACAAUUAAAAAAUCCCUUUAUUUACAUACUCUUAAUUUAGAUUCCCUAAAAACAGAUGCCAUGGGACUAGGUUUUAAGAGGAAGUGGUUUAUGUGGGAUCCCAAGAAAUACUGGUGAGUGGGGGGGAAAGGUGAGGAAGAAAAGGGCCACUAAGAUGGUCCAUGUCACCAAACCAGUGACCACUGUGAACAACUGAGACUUAAUCCAGCUGGGAGUUCUGGGAUCCAGUAGAUCCCAGCGCUAACACCCGAGGAUGAAGGAAAUGAGAUAUUGCUCUGCUGUUCCCAUCAGUUAUUUUUUAUGGGCUCCUACCCAGAUAUCUAAGUCCUUGGAGCCAAGUGUGACAGAAUGGACUUCAGGGUCCAGAGAAAGUCCUUGGGCAAAGGGACUCUAAUGCUAACAGUUGGGUAUGAGGCUGAGGCACUGACAGCCUUUGCCUCAAUAUAUUAGAUCAGACACUUUUUCUUUUUUUCCUUCCUUCUUCCUUCCAUCCUUCUCCCCUUCCAUCCUUCCUCCCUUCCUUCCCUCCUUCCUUCCUUCCUCCCUCCCUCCCUCUCUCUCUCUCUCUCUUUCCCAACUGGAUGGCAUUACUUAAAAUUGAAAGAGAUUUCUAGAUUAGGCAGAUCCUGAAUAACAUGCCAAAGGACUUGACGGAUGUAAAGUCUAUAUUAGGCAUUACAUCAACCCCUUCCUGUGAGUGUCUGGCUCUAAACCGUCUACUCCACAGCAUCCUCAGGUUUGGUCCAAGUCUUCACUUCUCAAUCUGCUCCUCAUCCCCUGCCCUAGUAAACAAACAAACAACAACAACAAAACAAAACACAGAACAAGCUUUCUUUUCUGCAGAAGGAAAACUUGGACCAAAACUUGUACCAAGGUAUUGGGUCUAUUUGUUUUCUUCCAAUAUACCCAAUACCUUGUAAUAAUCUAUAAAGGGAUUUAUCCUGGAAAAAUAUCAAAUCUCUAUGCUAUACACCUGAAACUAACACAAUAUUAUAAAUUAACUAUACUUCAAUAAAAAUAGAGAAAAGAGGAGUUCCCACCAUGGUGCAGUGGGUUCAGAAUCCAACUGCAGAGGCUCAGGUUGCUGGAGUGGCUCAGGUUGCUGUGGAGGCACAGGUUUGAUUCCUGGCUCUGGUUGCCGUGGAGGCAUGGGUUCAAUCCUCAGUCUGGCAGAGUGGGUUAAGGGAUCCAGUGUUGCUGCUCCUGUGCUGAAGGUUGCAGCUGCAUAUUGGAUUCAUUCCCUGGCCUGGAAACUUCCAUAUGCUGCAGGUGCAGCCAUAAAAGAAAAAGAAAAAUCUGUUUUCUUAUGAAUGUAAUAAAAUCUCAUUUGGCUAUUUUCAUAUCCCCAAACUGCUACACGUACCUGCAGUUUUUCCUUGUAAGUUUUAUAUACACAAAGGAAGUGGGGAGGAAUGGGAGGCAAAGAUAAUGGAGAAAUCCCUUGGAGAACAAGACCUGGGCAGAACUUUCAAGAACAAAGCAAAACGGUAGCUCCGAGUAGUGAGAAUCAUCAAAGCUUAAUUUCAUUUCCAUUUCACGGAAUACCAGGGACAACUCUCACUGGGAGACUAUUGGGGAAUUGUUUGAAACUUUGCAACAUUCUCUUUGUUUGGUGUUUUGACCCCUUUCCUGUUUCCUGUUAUAAACCAAACCUAACCAAACAAAAAGUCCUUGGAAAAAUCUAAAAAAAGGUUAUGUGGUUUCAAGGCGGCGGUCACUCGGGGUGACACACAUUUUUCUCAUGCAUAGGACACUGGAAGGGCUAAUGUCCUCUUGUUGACACUUGAAAAUGAAGCUGAUGGCCCCGCCCUGAUGAGAUGGGAAGGAAACAAGAGCCAACCCAGCUUUUUAACUUUGACUUCCGCUACAGUUUAGCACUCUGCCUUGGAGCUGAUGAAAUCCCGCUACCUGGGGGAGCAGGAAAACUAGAAGACAGUCUUUUGGCAAACUAAGCUGAAACAAAACAUUCCCUGUGGCGAUUCAACCUAGCUCCGAUUCCCAGGUCCGAUUCAACCCCUAGCCUGGUUUUAAAUGGGAUAGUCAGGUUCCAAAGUACUGACAGCAAAAUUACAGCUUAAAUAGGUUUUGUGGUCUUAAGACAUAAUGACUUACCAUUUUUCACUUUGGGGACCAAACCCAUUUCCUUGUCAGGAAAUUCCUCAGCUGGAAGAUUUAGUGAGGCCAAAAGUUAAUGUUAACCAUUGAAGAGAUUUUGCUUUCACUUACCUGCCUGGCUUGUAUCACUUACCUGCCUGGCUUGUAUUCUUAGAUUUAUAUGUGCAUAGGUUUAUACAUGCCCUUUCUGAGGUAGGAACUCUUGAUAUUAAAAUAUAUUAUAUGACGGAGUUCCCAUAGUGGCACAACAGAAACGAAUCCAGCUAAGAUCCAUGACGACGCAGGUUCGAUCCACGGCCUUGCUCAGUGGGUUGGAGAUCCAGCUUCGCCAGGAGCUGUGCUGUAGGAGGCAGAUAUGGCUCGGAUCCCGCAUUGCUGUGGCUAUGGCAUAGGCCAGCAGCUGCAGCUCCGAUUCAACCCCUAGCCUGGGUGUGGCCCU
rnacentral:lncRNA from 1 species